rnacentral:rRNA from 1 species
AUGAUCCUCUGCGACGUGCAUGUCCCUGCUCCUUCCGGGGAGGAGGAAUUCCCCGGCCCCAGGCUGCUCCGCUACGUACCGCUGCCGGAGCCAAUGCAGCCGGACAACGGCCUCCCUCUCUAUGGCAUGUCUUCCACGUCGUCCUUCUUCCGGGACAUCGCUGUUGUCAAUGGCCGGAUCAAGUUCGUCGACCUUCAGCUCCAUGCCAGCCCGGGCUCGCGCACCCCGAAUGGUUGGACGGCCGUCACAUGGAGCAAUGCGCCUGGUGAUUCGGGUUUCACCAAGGACGGGGAGCUGAAUUCCCGUGAUAUGGUGAACCCCAUGGAGCCGUCCCUGUUUGUUGGUCACCCCACGCUCAGCUCCUGUGAACUGUGA